AUGGCAGCCUGUAUCCAGCGACCGGGGCCCCAAACCAGACAGCAUGAAGACCAUCCUUGCUCCAAGCUCUCUAUGAGGCUGCUGAGGCGGGUUGUGACAAUCCUACAGCCCAGCCUCUGUCCAGUGUGGCUCCUUCCCCUCCCCCACGGGUGCUAGCCCAGCAUCUCCUCUAAUAAACCUCCCACACACUAAUCACUCAUCAGAGCCUGCCACCAGGAGCCAACCGGCCACAGCCCCGAAAUAAAAACAACGAGGAGGUUUUCAGCUCAUAAAUGUUUAAAGGACAGUUUACAGAUGCCACUUAAGUCAACUCCAUUAAUUAUUCCCUUUCGUAUUUAUGAGCAUCUAAAGUGUCAUUACCUCGAAUAAUCAUCUGUAGGUUACGAGUUCUCAGUUUACAUAAAUUCCCAGCCUCUAUGUAGUAGUUGCAGAGAAAUCUUAGCGAAUGGUAAAUUAUGAUUUAUUGAUUUAUUGAUUUAUUUUGGUCCUAGUUCCCCAACCAGGACCACUGCAGUGAAAGCACCAAGUGCUAACCACUGGACCACCAGGUAAUUCCAAAUAAUGGAAGCAUGUAGGAGCUAUGAAGAUGUUAAAAAUGGCCUUGCCCUUUGCAAUAUAGAUGCUACAAGCAGAACAUAGAGAUGAAAGUCAAGAUAAUGCCAAGAUCUGGGGGCAAAGAAAGGAAAGUGACCCACAGACCUAUGCGUCGCUCUAUGACUCAUGGUCCUGUUUGAAGUACUCACUGCCUCUCAGGGUUUCAUCCUCACUACCAGCUCAAAUGUCCUCUCUCCAUUUUCUCCUUUCCCCUUUUUAUUCUCACUCUCUCUGCUAGAGGCCUUCCUUGUCUGCAGGAAAGCACGGCAAGGAGAAGAAUCUAUGGUUUAAGGGGAGGAAACACAUUUUGUGCUAGUCUCUCUCCUUUCCAUGAAAGCCUUUUUCAAGAUGAUCCCAACAUUGAGAGUUUCCCAUGUUCAUUACCCUUUCAAGCCCUUGUGACAAUUCCCCAAAUCUCUACAAAUAAAUGAGUUGAUUCACUUCAAAA